rnacentral:rRNA from 1 species
CCUACGGGAGGCAGCAGUGGGGAAUAUUGCACAAUGGGGGAAACCCUGAUGCAGCGACGCCGCGUGAGUGAAGAAGUAAUUCGUUAUGUAAAGCUCUAUCAGCAGGGAAGAAAAUGACGGUACCUGAGUAAGAAGCCCCGGCUAACUACGUGCCAGCAGCCGCGGUAAUACGUAGGGGGCAAGCGUUAUCCGGAUUUACUGGGUGUAAAGGGAGCGUAGACGGCAGUGCAAGUCUGGAGUGAAAGGCGAGGGCUCAACCCCCGGACUGCUCUGGAAACUGUACGGCUGGAGUGCAGGAGAGGUAAGUGGAAUUCCUAGUGUAGCAGUGAAAUGCGUAGAUAUUAGGAGGAACACCAGUGGCGAAGGCGGGUUACUGGACUGUAACUGACGUUGAGGCUCGAAAGCGUGGGGAGCAAACAGGAUUAGAUACCCCUGUAGUC